UACAGAGGUUCCAAGCGUUGUUCGGAUUCAUUGGGCGUAAAGGGUGCGUAGGUGGCGCGCUAAGUCAGGCGUGAAAUUUCGGAGCUUAACUCCGAAACUGCAUUUGAUACUGGCGUGCUUGAGGACUGGAGAGGAGACUGGAAUUUACGGUGUAGCAGUGAAAUGCGUAGAGAUCGUAAGGAAGACCAGUGGCGAAGGCGAGUCUCUGGACGAAUCCUGACACUGAGGCACGAAAGCCAGGGGAGCAAACAGG
rnacentral:rRNA from 1 species